rnacentral:lncRNA from 1 species
CCUAUACAUUCAGAGUAUAUUGGAAACGAUCCUCAUGCAGAAAAAAGCUGCUAUCAUGCUUUCAUGAGGAAAAUUAAGGCUGGCAGAAAGUAUUCAAAAAGCAAACCUGAACAGGCAUUUACUGGUGGUCCAGUGCAGUCUGGCACUGAACAGACUAUUAAAGGAAAAUUUAAAAUACCAAAAAGGAGAAAAGUGGAUCACAUACAUUCUAGAUCAAUUCAGCAAACAAUGCCAUGCAGCCUUCCAAAUAAUAAUCAGGUAGAAAAACUACAUUUGGCUCAUCAGGAAAAUAAAGCAGAGGCUAAAGAAGUGAAACCUGACAAAUAUGGGAAAUAUGGGCAAGGUAAAGAAAGCACUGAAGAACAGAGAGAAUUUAAACAUAAAGAAAAAUUCAUGAAACAAAUGGCAGUAACUGUGUCAUCAUCUUCAAGUGAGGAAACAGAUAAUGGCUCAGCAAACUAUAUUAUUCAGAUAAACCAGUCUAAUUAUGGAAAUAUGGCAACAAGAGCAAUGGAUACAGAAGACCAAAUUAUUAAGUGGGAAGAAGAUCAAGAUGCCUAUAAAGAAAGGAAGGUCUUUGAAGAAAUCAGUAUGCAAAGUCAGAGUGAAGAGGUGGCAAAUAUAGACAAUAUAUCAGGGAAGGAUGCUCAGGUGGAAGAAGAGAAUAUUGAAAGUGAUCCAGGCAAUGAGGAAAUGAUUGGGGAAGAAGUGGAAAGUGAAGGUGGAAUGCAAGAUGAAAACACUGACAAUGAAUUAAAAUCUGUAGGAGAGGAAGAUGAAAAUGAAACUGAUAAGGACUAUAAAGAAGAUGGUGCUGUAGAUGAUGAAGAAAAUGAAAAUCAUGAAUUACACUCUGAAGUAGAAAAUGGUGAUAGGAUGGAAGAUGUAUUGGAACAGAAUCUCGAAAUAAGACAUACUGAAGAGAAAGAUGACACAGGUGCUGAACUGCAAGAAGGAGAAGAGGAAAUUAUAGAUGAGGUUGAAAAGGAAGAAAAAUCUGAAAAUGCAGAGAAGGGUGAAGUUGUGGAGGAAAUUGGUAUAGUAGAGAAGGAACAAGAGGAGAAUGAUUGGGUGAAUGAAAAAGAAAAGGAGGGGAAUAAGAAUGA